rnacentral:rRNA from 1 species
GAAAGAUGAAAAGAACUUUGAAAAGAGAGUUAAAUAGUACGUGAAAUUGUUGAAAGGGAAACGAUUGAAGCCAGUCGUACCUGCGGGUAAUCAGCCUUUUGGGCAUGAUUCUGUGGAGCGUGAGGAGUUAAACGCCUUCAUGCCUGCAUAUUCGUGUACUUUGGGUGUACUUGCCUGUGUGGUUAGUUAACAUCAAUUUUGGUUAUCAUAAAAUGGUUGGAGGAAUGUAGCUUCGAUUUCGAUUGAAGUGUUAUA